GACGAACGCUGGCGGCGUGCCUAAUACAUGCAAGUCGUGCGGACCUUUUAAAAGCUUGCUUUUAAAAGGUUAGCCGCGGACGGGUGAGUAACACGUGGGCAACCUGCCUGUAAGACUGGGAUAACGCCGGGACACCGGGGCUAAUACCAGAUCGUCUUUUCCUCCGCAUGGAGGGAAAAGGAAAGGCGGCUUCGGCUGCCACUUACAGGUGGGCCCGCGGCGGAUUAGCUAGUGGGCGGGGUCACGGCCCCCCAAGGCAACGAUGCGUAGCCGACGGGAGGGGGUGGUCGGCCAGAUUGGGACGGAGACACGGCCCAAACUCCUACGGGAGGCAGCAGUAGGGAAUCUUCCGCAAGGGGCGAAAGUCUGACGGAGCAACGCCGCGGGAGUGAAGAGGGCCGUCGGGUCGGAAAACUCUGUUGCCGGGGAAGAACAAGUGCCGUUCGAACAGGGCGGCGGCGUGACGGUACCCGGCCAGAAAGCCACGGCUAACUACGUG
rnacentral:rRNA from 1 species